CCUACGGGCGGCAGCAGUGGGGGAUAUUGCACAAUGGGGGAAACCCUGAUGCAGCGACGCCGCGUGGGUGAAGAAGCGCCUCGGCGCGUAAAGCCCUGUCAGCAGGGAAGAAAAUGACGGUACCUGAAGAAGAAGCCCCGGCUAACUACGAGCCAGCAGCCGCGGUAAUACGUAGGGGGCAACCGUUAUCCGGAUUUACGGGGGGUAAAGGGGGCGCAGACGGCGAUGCAAGCCAGGAGUGAAAGCCCGGGGCCCAACCCCGGGACUGCUCUUGGAACUGCGUGGCUAGAGUGCAGGAGGGGCAGGCGGAAUUCCUGGUGUAGCGGUGAAAUGCGUAGAUAUCAGGAGGAACACCGGUGGCGAAGGCGGCCUGCUGGACUGCAACUGACGUUGAGGCCCGAAAGCGUGGGGAGCAAACAGGAUUAGAUACCCCAGUAGUC
rnacentral:rRNA from 1 species